AAACGCCCGGCGGUGUGCCUAAUACAUGCAAGUCGUACGCACUGGCCCAACUGAAUUGAUGGUGCUUGCACCUGAUUGACGUUGAAUCACCCAGUGAGUGGCGGACGGGUGAGUAACACGUAGGUUAACCUGCCCCGGAGCGGGGGAUAACAUUUGGAAACAGAUGCUAAUACCGCAUAACAACAAAAGCCACAUGGCUUUUGUUUGAAAGAUGGCUUUAGCUAUCACUCUGGGAUGGACCUGCGGUGCAUUAGCUAGUUGGUAAGGUAACGGCUUACCAAGGGCGAUGAUGCAUAGCCGAGUUGAGAGACUGAUCGGCCACAAUGGAACUGAGACACGGUCCAUACUCCUACGGGAGGCAGCAGUAGGGAAUCUUCCCAAUGGGCGCAGCCUGAUGGAGCACACCGCGUGAGUGAAAAGGGUUCGCUCGUAAGCUCUGUGUGGAAAAACGUG
rnacentral:rRNA from 1 species